AUACUUACCUGGCGCAGGACUUUACCUUGAUCCAUAAGGAGGUAGUCCCAGGGUGAGGCCCUUACAUUGCACUACGUUUGGGUUGACCCUUGCGAUUGCCCCAAAUGUGGGUAACUCGGGCGCGUAAUUUUUGUUAGUGGGGACUGCGUUCGCGCUAUCCCUAC
rfam:Strigamia maritima strain Brora ctg7180001229890, whole genome shotgun sequence.